UUUUUUAUUUUUUUUAUGAUUUAUUAUAAAUUUUUUAUUAAAUAAAAAGGUUAAAAUAUAUAUUUUUUUAAAUAAAAAAAUAUAUAUUAAAAUUUUUCAUUUUUUAAUAUUUAAUAAAUAUAAUAUACUAUAAAAAUAAAUAAUCUAAUAUUUAACACUAUUAAACAUUAAAAUUCUAUAUAAAAAAAAAAACAGCGCCUCAAUCAACCUAAACUUCCUUCUAUGCUUUUUGAAUUUUGCCAUGCAAAUUAAUUCCAGUUACAUACAAAUAUAAGAAAGCUGUUUUAUCAUCUUAAAGAAAGUCAAGAGACUCAAGACUCAAGCAUCAUACUAAUAUUAUUAUAUAUAAAACCUAUAAAAUAAAAUAAAAAUAAAAAGGGUACGUGGCAGCUGAGAAGCACUAGAAGUUAGAAAAGGAUGUAACUCCAAUCGUCGGUAUUACUGCUCUUUUCUCUGCUACAUAGGUGUGAAGCAGAAGGACCCACCACCAUCCUCCCCAUCGUACUGUCUCCACCCUUCUAUUUAUCUUCCUCGUUUUUUCAUCAACCAAAUCUCGCCGUCGCCACCACCCACCACCAGGCCACCACCGCCCUCCGUAGGGACCAAAGAAGGACGAUGAGAUAUGGUGGGACUCAGUAUUGUAUUGGAAGCCCAGAAGGGUAUUAACAAGAAAACCCCACAAGUCAUUAACAAAAUCACCAUGAUGACCAAACCCACUCCUUUUCCUUCGCCUCCUGCACGUUGGAAUUCUCACUCACCUCUCCUCCCGGCGGCCACCACUUUUCUCGACGAGUGCUUUCUCUGCAAGCAAAAACUCUUGCCUGGAAAAGACAUCUACAUGUACAAGUAAGCAUCCAUAUUUACAAUAUUUAAUACAAAUUAUCUUCAGUUUCUUUUUCUUGUUAUUCUACCAGAUCUCUUCUUCCUUGCUUCAUAUCUACCCAAAACCCAGAUUUCUGUCAGCUGAAGCUUUAGCUUGAUAGGGGUGCUGAUGUUUUGGUUCAUUGAUUCAUGCAGAGGAGACAGAGCUUUUUGUAGCGUGGAGUGCAGGUGCAGGCAGA
rnacentral:lncRNA from 1 species